rnacentral:rRNA from 1 species
UAAUACGUAGGGGGCAAGCGUUGUCCGGAUUUAUUGGGCGUAAAGCGCGUGUAGGCGGCCAGGUAGGUCCGUUGUGAAAACUCGAGGCUCAACCUCGAGACGUCGACGGAAACCAUCUGGCUAGAGUCCGGAAGAGGAGAGUGGAAUUCCUGGUGUAGCGGUGAAAUGCGCAGAUAUCAGGAAGAACACCCGUGGCGAAGGCGGCUCUCUGGGACGGUACUGACGCUGAGACGCGAAAGCGUGGGGAGCGAACAGGAUUAGAUACCCUGGUAGUCCACGCCGUAAACGAUGGGUGCUAGGUGUGGGAGGUGUCGACUCCUUCCGUGCCGAAGCUAACGCAUUAAGCACCCCGCCUGGGGAGUACGGCCGCAAGGCUA